UUUUAAAUAUAUGUACCAGCUAUAGAAAAUAAAACAAUUUAUGUAAGUUUCAAUAGUGAGCUUUUGGACAAAACGACGAAAGAUAAUAGCUGAUGUUGAAUAUUGCCUAAAAGAUCUAACUCUUAAAUCAAGCAAUAUUUCACAUUCACCAGAGGAAGUACAAUCAUUGUAUUUAAAAAGUAUAUCAGAUCGAAAACUUUCAACUGAGAGUGUUAUUCCAUCAGGUGCAAAUAAUAUUGAUUGUGAAGUGAACUCUGACAGUAAUCUAUUGAUAUUAAAUAUUGGCAUUAGACAAGUUAUUUUAAGUAAUAAUUUAAGUUUUUUAAAGAAAAAAGAUUGUAUACCAAUUCAAGUCAAUAUUGAUGAUUUACCAUUGUUUAAAAGCAGCAUUGGACAAUUUUGACCAAUAUUAGGUUUAAAAAAUGUGGAUAAACAAUAUUCAACACAAUAAAACCCCAUUUAUAAUCGGUCAUUUUUAUAGUAGGUCUAAACCAAAAGACCGUAAUGAAUAUCUAAAAAUGUUUGUUAAUGAAAGUAUUGCUUUAUUUGAAUCUAGUAUUAGUAUUAAUGGUAAAGUAUAUAAGUUUGCUAUAUCAGCUUUUAUUUGUGGUACACCAGCUUGAUCAUUUAUAAAUGGAAAUAAAGGACAAUAAAUAAGAUAAAGCCUAUUAAUAAAUGUUAUGCAAUAAUUAAUGGCAUUAAUUUGAUAUCUUUUUUUUUUUUAAUUUUUUAAAAAAUAUUCUUCAGUAUAUAUAUUACUGAUGCUUUUUCUAUAUUUUUUUGUAGAUAAUAGCUGUGGCAAGUAAAGGAGGUCAGACUUUAAAGGAGGCUGUCCAGAGAAUGUCUUUUGCGUUAUUCACUAAUAACCUCUGCUAUAAACUUAACUGGUCUGGUAUUACUUUAAAUGACAAUGAAAGUAACUUUGUAAAACAAAGACUUACACUUGCUUAAAAGAGCUGUAAAAAGAAAUCCUGCAACAACUUCAGCAACUGAAUCAGAUUUUCAAUAUGAGGUUGUGCGUUUUUUGCGUGGUGCAUCAGACCGCAAUGGCGGAAAAAAGUUAGACAAGACCAAAAAAACAAACAAGCCAAGAAAAAAGUGAUGCCUACAUCAAGUUUUUAUUAAUUAAAUAAAGAGGCAUUUUUUAGUUCAGAAGAUGAAUAAUAUUGUUAAAUAAAAUAAGCAUCUUUAUUUAAAAAUUUGUUACCUUUAUUUUGUUGAAAACUAUUUUAUAUAUUUUUAAAUAUUUUAAUUUUUAAACUCAAUAGAGUAAAGUUUUUGUGCAAUGAGUAUUACUGUUUCUGUGUUUUUCAUAUUCAUUCCCUUUUACAGUAACCUUUUGUAUAUGAGAUUGUAAAUGAAAAUUUAAAUCGUGAUAUUGAAUCUUGCCCGAGAAUAAAGUAAGGAAACCUCAACCAGAGUUAUAUUUCAUAGAAUUAUGUUGACCAUGAUCCAACUAUUGCCAUGGGUAUAAGAUAGAUGUUUGGUUUGCAAACUGGAUUUAAAUCAUACUUUCUUUAAACAUAUUUAUUUGCUCUUUAUAUGCUUUCAAAUAAUUUAUUAGAAAAAAUUAUAUUCUUAUUUACUAAACCGUUUUAUUUCAAUCAAUUGUUUGCUUUUUUAUAUUUUUCAAGGAGUUUUUAUAGUAUAUUAUAUUGGGCUAUGUUUUUUUUUUUUGUAUGGUGAAAACUAUGUUCAAUUUACAAACUAUAUUUUAGUUUAUCAAAACAUAUUUUUAUUGAUGUGUUUUUCCUCUGAUUCUUUAUUUUUCAGAUGUGCACUUGUGUCUUAGGCUUAUGCUUUGCAAAAGGUUCACCAUCGCCCUUAAGUUGCUGUGGAUUUUACGGUUUUACUUCCAACCUGGCAUAUAAUAUCUGAAGUUAUUUGUCAAUAACUGGUGAUCAGACUAUUUCAAACGAAUACGUUUUAUAAGGGCUGAGAAGGUGAAAGUUAGAAGUCUGCAGACUGCAACGUAAAUCAAUUUUCAACACAUGGUUUCCUGAAUAUAUUUAGUUUUCGAUUAAAAUGAGAAUAAACUGAACUUAUAGAUA